AAAACAGCCACCGGCGGCUCGAGUGGUAACCGUUAUUAUUGGGUCUAAAGGGUCUGUAGCCGGCCGGAUAAGUCUCUUGAGAAAUCUGGCAGCUUAACUGUCAGGCUUUCAGGAGAUACUGUCUGGCUCGAGGCCGGGAGAGGUGAGAGGUACUUCAGGGGUAGGGGUGAAAUCUUGUAAUCCUUGAAGGACCACCAGUGGCGAAGGCGUCUCACCAGAACGGACCUGACGGCAAGGGACGAAAGCUAGGGGCACGAACCGGAUUAGAUACCCGGGUAGUCCUAGCCGUAAACGAUACUCGCUAGGUGUCGGCCACGGUGCGACCGUUGUCGGUGCCGUAGGGAAGCCGUGAAGCGAGCCACCUGGGAAGUACGGCCGCAAGGCUGAAACUUAAAGGAAUUGGCGGGGGAGCACCACAACGGGUGGAGCUUGCGGUUUAAUUGGAUUCAACGCCGGAAAUCUUACCGGGACCGACAGCAAUAUGAAGGCCAGGCUGAAGACUUUGCCGGAUUAGCU
rnacentral:rRNA from 1 species